rnacentral:rRNA from 1 species
AUUGAACGCUGGCGGCAGGCCUAACACAUGCAAGUCGAGCGGCAGAAGAGAGCUAGCUCCUGGUUUCAGCGGCGGACGGGUGAGUAGUGCCUGGGAAUAUGCGUGGUUACUUGGGAUAACGGGCGGAAACGGGGGCUAAUACCGCAAUAGUGCUGAGGGACUAAGUGGGGGAUCUUGGGACCUCACGACCUCGCAUGAGUCUAUGUCGGGAUGUCGGAUUAGCUAGUUGGCGGGGUAAAGGCCCACCAAGGCGACGAUCCGUAGCUGGUCUGAGAGGAUGAUCAGUCACACUGGAAAUGAGAUACGGUCCAGACUCCUACGGGAGGCAGCAGUGGGGAAUAUUGGACAAUGGGCGAAAGCCUGAUCCAGCCAUGCCGCGUGUGUGAAGAAGGCCUUCGGAUUGUAAAGCACUUUAGUUUGGGAAGAAGGGCAGUAAGUUAAUACCCUGCUGUUUUGACGUUACCAACAGAAUAAGCACCGGCUAACUUCGUG